UACGUAGGGGGCAAGCGUUGUCCGGAAUCAUUGGGCGUAAAGCGCGUGUAGGCGGCCCGAUAAGUCCGCUGUGAAAGUCCAGGGCUCAACCCUGGGAUGCCGGUGGAUACUGUCGGGCUCGAGUCCGGAAGAGGAGUGUGGAAUUCCUGGUGUAGCGGUGAAAUGCGCAGAUAUCAGGAGGAACACCUAUUGCGAAGGCAGCUCGCUGGGACGUAACUGACGCUGAGACGCGAAAGCGUGGGGAGCAAACAGG
rnacentral:rRNA from 1 species